AGGCUCAAAGUUCUGAAAAAACCUGUUCGAAUGUUCGACAACUCUUCUCCGGUGGUCGUGGCUCUUCUCUUCGGUGAUUUAAAGCAUCUCUGUGGAAAGCAUUCUCUCCAGUUGUGGCUUUUUUCUCUUCGGCGGUCGUGGCUCUUCUCUUCAGCGGUUGGAAGAGGUGGUGGACAGAGGAGAUCGAACCUUCAUCCACCGAAGCUUUCCCACUUUUUUCCUCCCCUUUUCUCUCGUUAUCUUAUCAACCCAGCCGACCUAGCUUCCUUUCCCCUGUUAUUGUCGUCCCAAAUGAACCGCCGUUGCAACUCCUAGUAACGACGGCGUUCUUCUCUCUAUUUCUCUCCCACUCACCCGUUCUCUCUAUCGCUAUCAUUCUGUUCUCCUUAGUUCUUUUCUCUUCUCCCUCUCCCUCUCUUUCCUUCUCUGCAGUCAUUUCUUAUCAUCUUCUCAUCGGCGCAUCAGUAGAGCUACAGCGGUGAAUGUCCCUUCUGGUUCUCACUCCAUUUCAAGUCAGCAGUAGCAGAGAUUGUGGAAUUCUCAUCGUCAUCAUCUGUUGAAGCUCGUAGAUGAAUAUUUGCCUCACUGUGAUUUACCAUCCUAACCGAAAUCCAAGAAGAUUCCCUCCGUAGUAGCAAAGAUCAAAAAGGAGUGAAGCAAUUUUUCAUUCUACCUCAACCAUCUUCGUUGUCCAAGACGAACCGACAGAAACCAAAGAAGCCUCCCCUGUUGCAUUGGCCGACGGAUGAAGGAAUCUAGCAAUGAAAAUGGAAGCAAUUCUGAAGAUGUCAAUGAAACAUCUAUGGCAUCAGGUUCUAGUCAAAGGAGGACUAGAUCUAAAGCUUGGGAACACUU